ACAAAUCGAACAUAAUUUUGCAUAUAUCUUUUAACCGCUAUGGUUGAGAUUAUGGAAAACAAAGGGAGGUAAUAAUGUUAAAACCAUUGCUUAUUUUAGGAAAAUUUCACGUGUGCUGGUUUCGCACUGGAAAACAAUGUUUAAACUCAUAUUUGUGUAAUAGCAUCUACAUUUGCACAUUUUCUGAGCUUGAAUACUUAAAUAAGCAAGAUAAGUCUGCAGUUUUGUAGAAAAAGUUGGUAAAAAUAGGAAAAUUAUGCAAAAUAGUGGUUUGUAACAUGCCGCAAACAUAAAUUCUCUUUUUCUUCUUAUUUGAAGUCAUUAUGGCAACAUAUUUCUUCAUGUGACACCUAACCGAUGAAGAAAGACUAAGAUUGAAGCAUUUAUUUGAUAAUAAAUACGAAAUAAUAAGUGAAUGCCACAUCUGGAAGGGGGCGUACACUCCAAGCGUCUAUGGUGUUCUGCGGUGUAGUUUCCGCGGCAAAAGGCUAAGGCUUAAAGCUCACCAUGCACUAUAUUAUCUUGAAAAUAAACAUGCCAUGUCAUCAAAAAUGCAUGUGUCACAUUUAUGCCACAGUCAACUUUGUGUCAACAUCAAGCACUUAAGUUAUGGGCCUCAAAGCAUUAACAAAAGGAAAAUAUGUGCUCAUGAAGGUUCCUUAUGCACUUGAAAAUGUUUUCAAGCUGUGUCUUGUUUACAAUGAUGUUCUCAUAGUCAGAUAUAUUUGCCCACUGUUUCCAAUUGUAGCACUUUGAUUUUCAGACUGUGGUACUGUUUGAUGUGGUCGCAGUUUAAUAGGGAGAACGAGUGGACCCCGAGAACGAUUACACGCAUUAAAGACAUCGUUAGCCACAGAAUCACCCAAUCGCACGACACUUUCCAGACUGUGGUACUGUUUGAUGUGGUCGCAGUUUAAUAGGGAGAACGAGUGGACCCCGAGAACGAUUACACGCAUUCAAGACAUCGUUAGCCACAGAAUCACCCAAUCGCACGACACUUUCCAGACUGUGGUACUGUUUGAUGUGGUCGCAGUUUAAUAGGGAGAACGAGUGGACCCUGAGAACGAUUACACGCAUUCAAGACAUCGUUAGCCACAGAAUCACCCAAUCGCACGACACUUUCCAGGUCAGGGUCUGAA